GUUGAAAUACCUGUUCCCGUACGAUCACCGAAGUUAAGCUAUGUCGAGCCUGAUCAAAACCUAGAUAGGUGACCGCUUGGAAGUACCAGGUUUUGUAA